rnacentral:rRNA from 1 species
UAGGGAAUCUUCCACAAUGGACGCAAGUCUGAUGGAGCAACGCCGCGUGAGUGAAGAAGGCUUUCGGGUCGUAAAACUCUGUUAUUGAAGAAGAACGUGCGUGACAGUAACUGGUCAUGCAGUGACGGUAUUCAAUCAGAAAGUCACGGCUAACUACGUGCCAGCAGCCGCGGUAAUACGUAGGUGGCAAGCGUUGUCCGGAUUUAUUGGGCGUAAAGCGAGUGCAGGCGGUCUUUUAAGUCUGAUGUGAAAGCCUUCGGCUUAACCGAAGAAGGGCAUCGGAAACUGGGAGACUUGAGUGCAGAAGAGGAGAGUGGAACUCCAUGUGUAGCGGUGAA